ACAUGCGGAGGGAUGCUGAUAACAGGUAUGGUUUUAUUUGCAAUUUUGUAACGACGAGUCAAUUGAAAUACCUGUUACAUUCAUUGGUUUUGGGGGACUAUGGCCGUUAGUUCUCUGAUCAAUGAAUGACUACGGGUAGUUCAACUGUCUCCAAUCAAAAUUGUCAAAUAAAACCUGGCCAAUCAUGGAUGCAGAAAAUGAUUUAAUGACCAAUGACCGAUGGGAUGAGCAUGCAUACACUCAAACUUUACACUGCGUGAACGAACGAUAUGAGUACACCCGCUGUGCCACCCACUUUUGAGCGACGGUUGUCGGGUUAUAUCAGCCGUCUGGCGAAAACUUGCAUGCAAGUUAUGCUGCAUUUAGAGCAGGAUUUAAAUUUUGGGAAUCUAUCAUUCGUUCCGAUUUUGGUAAUAUUACAUAGCAUUUUUUUGCGAUAGUAUAGUUUGUUAUGCUUUUAGAUCCGCGGCAGAAAAAACCCCGAGCGGUUUUCCGUUCAUGUCGGCGAGUUCGUACGAACUUGUACCCUUUUUUUCUGAGAACAACACAAGGAAUGAAUUGAGGACCUAAUUUAGCAUUGUACCUCUGGCUAGCGGAAGACAGCUGGAAAUUCCUUUUAAAUACCCGUUGGCCUGGUUGGAAUGAGGGGAUCGAAUCUGUUCCGGCAGCUAACAUCGCAGUUCUACAAUCUUCCCUGGUAUUGCGGAAAAGAGUAUCAAAUUUCCGACGGUCAUCCCAUGGCUCGGACAUGCAACGGAAAAUACGGACUAUAUCCAGCUUUCAAAAGCUCGCGUAAAGUGCGUUCCUGACUGCUGCGCCUCAAAUCGGACACGUCUGUGUGGCGGAUACGCAACUCAUGAUCAAGCUCGUGAUCUGAGAGAUGAGCUGGGUUUAUGGAUAAAUAUUGUUGUUUUAAUUGCGAUUCCAUUUUCGUGUUUAGAAUUUAUCAGUUGAAUAAUCAAAGGUACUUAACAAGAACAGCAAAAGAAAAGAUGAACAGAACCACAAAAUAACUGAAUGUUAAGUCAAUCAGAUGAACUUAUGAAUUAAAAUAGCA